UAAAGGAGAAUCCUUGCCAGAUCCCCUUUUACAAGUACAUCUCUAUAGCUAAAGUGAACCAGACCCAGCUCAUCUGAGCCUGAAGUCGGUUUGGAUUCAAACUGACCCAACCGAUUCUGUGCACAUCCAUAAUUCUGGCUGCCUGAGGCAAGAAACUGCCUUAUUGGACAACCAAGAGACAAAAAAGAAGAAGAAGAAAGCACAUGUGACAUCUCACAGUUAUCUAAUACAUCAGCUUGGGAUUCUGCUUCCCCAUCAAGUCUCCUCUUAUUUCAUUCAGAUUCAAUGACUUGGAUGUCUCCUUAUUUACAGUAUGGGAAUCUAGCACAGACACACACUCUGAAGAUCCAAGAGCAGGAUUCCUAAUUCUGGGCCAAAACGUAUGGACAAAGAACAUUUGAAGUAGUAGGAUCUAUUAAAAAGAGAGUGAAAUGGAUUAAAAUCCAUAAGGUCAUAUCAAUUGAAUUCUUUAUGCUUCUAUUCCCUACACUUUUUGUUCCAUCCAAAGACUUAUAACUCUAGAUACUGAGUUUGUGGAUUUGGGCAACCACUGGAUUCAUGACUUGGAGAGUCUGUUAAUGUGCCACUCAGCACAGUAUAAAGAGUAGCUGGCCGGAACAAGCAGCUUAGGGAAUAUGGUAGGGUUUGUGCUUUUAAGAAGCUAACAGACCACAUUUUUCAAUAUUUUCAGGAUGUAUGUUUUAAAGACUACUUCUUCUGCUGUUGGUGAUGCCUUGGUUCAGUGCCCAAGCUAAAUACCUGCAAGAACAACUGACAUAUAUACCAGUCUUGGCAACUCUUCCAACCAAAGCACUGUCUAGAAGCCAAAGCUGGAUCAGCAAUUUAUAGUGCCUCAUACAUGCUGUUGGUUUUAGGUAUUGCCCAAUCCCUAGGCUGACUUCUACAUCCCACUGUGUUAUGUAAUUAAAUGUGAAACAGUUCAAAAAUAGAUCUUUGAAUCUCUGUGCCUCAUAUGGAACUAAGAAUCAGGUUUGUUUAAAAAUGGCAACGGACUGUAGCAAUCAAAGCUGUCAAAUCCGAAUAUCUGGGUCUAGCACAACAACAAAAAUAUUGUUGAAAAUCUGCUUCUGCACUGCACACUUUUUAAAAUGUUUGCUGAUUGAAUGACCGUAACAAUAAAGAUUUGAUUUG